AGUGAACGCUGGCGGCGUGCCUAAUACAUGCAAGUCGAACGGAGUGGCGCACGGGUGAAUAAUAUAUAGCUACUCUGCCCCUUGCUGGAGGACAACAGUUAGUAAUGACUGCUAAUACUCCAUAGCAAGGGAUGAGACUGUAUCGUAUCAGCUAGUCGGUGGGGUAACGGCCUACCGAGGCUAUGACUCGUAACUGGACUGCGAGGAUGAUCAGUCACAUUUGACGUGAGACACGGUCCAAACUCCUACGGGAGGCAGCGGUAGGGUAUCCUGCGAAAUGGGGGAAACCCUGACGCAGCAACGCCGCGUGGAGGAUGACACUUUGAGGAGCGUAAACUCCUUUUGUUAGGGAAGCGGUACCUAACCAAUAAGCACCGGCUAACUCCGUGCCAGCAGCCGCGGUAAUUC
rnacentral:rRNA from 1 species